AAAAAAUAAAAAAAGAAAGAUUUAGAAAGAAAGAAGAAAAAUGAAAGAUUGAAAAAAAUGAAGUAAUAAAAGAAUGAGACGACGAAAGAAAGAAAGAAAAGAAGACCGGAUUGACACUCAGUUUUUACACAUUUUUAUUAUUAUUUUUCAGACCCGGGACAGUGUUGGGUUUCACAAAGCGCCACGCAGCCCUCCCCGGAGGAGACGGGAAGCUGCCGGAGGGGACGCCAUGAGAUCGUGGAAGUCACCAAGAGAAAAAAUGACCCCGCAGGAUGAGGGAGGAAAGUAGGAAGACUAGCGAGGAGGAAGAGGAGACGAAGAGGAGGAGGAGAGGAGAGUUCGCGUUUUGUUGCUCUUCUGUUUGACCGCCAAGGUAUGUUCGUUCGUACGUUUGUUUUUAU